UGGGCGCAAGCCUGAUGCAGCCAUGCCGCGUGUGUGAAGAAGGCCUUCGGGUUGUAAAGCACUUUCAGUCGUGAGGAAGGUGGUAGUGUUAAUAGCACUAUUAUUUGACGUUAGCGACAGAAGAAGCACCGGCUAACUCCGUG
rnacentral:rRNA from 1 species